rnacentral:rRNA from 1 species
AACGAACGCUGGCGGCAUGCCUAACACAUGCAAGUCGAACGAGACCUUCGGGUCUAGUGGCGCACGGGUGCGUAACGCGUGGGAACCUGCCCUUAGGUUCGGAAUAACUCCCCGAAAGGGGUGCUAAUACCGGAUAAUGUCUUCGGACCAAAGAUUUAUCGCCUUUGGAUGGGCCCGCGUUGGAUUAGCUAGUUGGUAGGGUAAAAGCCUACCAAGGCGACGAUCCAUAGCUGGUCUGAGAGGAUGAUCAGCCACACUGGGACUGAGACACGGCCCAGACUCCGACGGGAGGCAGCGGGGGGAAAUAUUGGACAAGGGGCGAAAGCCUAACCCAGCAAUGCCGGGUGAGUGAGGAAGGCUUUAGGGUUGAAAAGCUUUUUUCCCCGGGAUGAUAAUGACAGGCCGGGGAAAAAAGGCCCCGGCAAACCCCGUC